rnacentral:snRNA from 1 species
ACGAUUUGUCAAAGAUUUC